GCGAAAGUGGCGGAAUUGGCAGACGCACCAGAUUUAGGCUCUGGCGCCGCAAGGCGUGGGGGUUCGAGUCCCCCCUUUCGCA
rnacentral:tRNA from 1 species